rnacentral:rRNA from 1 species
CCCCCGCCGUUAGUUGCCAGCGGUUCGGCCGGGCACUCUAACGGGACUGCCCGCGAAAGCGGGAGGAAGGAGGGGACGACGUCUGGUCAGCAUGGCCCUUACGGCCUGGGCGACACACGUGCUACAAUGCCCACUACAAAGCGAGGCCACCCGGCAACGGGAGCUAAUCGCAAAAAGGUGGGCCCAGUUCGGAUUGGGGUCUGCAACCCGACCCCAUGAAGCCGGAAUCGCUAGUAAUCGCGGAUCAGCCAUGCCGCGGUGAAUACGUUCCCGGGCCUU